rnacentral:rRNA from 1 species
UUUGGUUAAGAAAGAAAGGGAGCACGAUAGAUGAAGUGAAACCAGGAGUCGAAGAAGGAAGGGACUAAAGACGAUAUGCUUCGGGGAGAUGUAAGUAAGCUUUGAUCCGAAGAUUUCCGAUUGUGGAAACCCACCAUUCUUAAUGGUUUUUUAUCCUUAUCUGUUUACAUAGGGUUUGUAAUACAGACUCAGGUAACUGAAACAUCUAAGUACCUGUAGGAAGAUUAAUCAAAUGCGAUUUCCUUAGU